rnacentral:rRNA from 1 species
AACGAACGCUGGCGGCAGGCUUAACACAUGCAAGUCGAACGCGUGUAGCAAUACACGAGUGGCGCACGGGUGAGUAACGCGUGGAUAUCUGCCUUUUGGUUCGGAAUAACCCCGGGAAACUGGGGCUAAUACCGGAUGGUUCCUUCGGGAUAAAGAUUUAUCGCCAAAAGAUGAGUCCGCGUACGAUUAGCUAGUUGGUGAGGUAAUGGCUCACCAAGGCGACGAUCGUUAGCUGGUCUGAGAGGACGAUCAGCCACACUGGGACUGAGACACGGCCCAGACUCCUACGGGAGGCAGCAGUGGGGAAUAUUGGACAAUGGGGGCAACCCUGAUCCAGCCAUGCCGCGUGAGUGAUGAAGGCCUUCGGGUUGUAAAGCUCUUUUGGCGGGGACGAUGAUGACGGUACCCGCAGAAUAGGCCCCGGCAAACUUCGUGCCAGCCGCCGCUGUAA